rnacentral:rRNA from 1 species
CCUACGGGUGGCAGCAGUGGGGAAUAUUGGGCAAUGGGCGCAAGCCUGACCCAGCCACGUCGCGUGAAGGAAGAAGGCCCUCGGGUUGUAAACUUCUUUUUAGAGGGAAGAGCAGAAGACGGUACCUCUUGAAUAAGCCACGGCUAACUACGUGCCAGCAGCCGCGGUAAUACGCAGGUGGCAAGCGUUGUCCGGAUUUACUGGGUGUAAAGGGCGUGCAGGCGGGAAGACAAGUCAGGUGUGAAAUCCCGCGGCUCAACCGCCGAACUGCAUUUGAAACUGUUUUUCUUGAGUACCGGAGAGGUCAUCGGAAUGCCUGGUGUAGCGGUGAAAUGCGUAGAUAUAAGGAAGAACACCAGUGGCGAAGGCGGAUGACUGGACGGCAACUGACGGUGAGGCGCGAAAGCGUGGGGAUCAAACAGGAUUAGAUACCCGUGUAGUC